CCCUGACAGUCGCAUGGUGUGGCUGACUAACCCAGACAGGAGAUCAACAUG
rnacentral:sRNA from 12 species